GUCAAGGUGCCAGAGUGGUUAAUGGGCUGCCCUGCUAUCAAAACUUGAUUUCAGAUUAGGCAGUGACUUCGGUCGCGCAGGUUCGAAUCCUGUCCUUGACG
rnacentral:tRNA from 1 species